rnacentral:rRNA from 1 species
UACGGGGGGUGCGAGCGUUGUCCGGAAUCACUGGGCGUAAAGGGCUCGUAGGCGGUCUGUUGCGUCAGGAGUGAAAACUCGGGGCUUAACCCCCGAGCCUGCUUCUGAUACGGGCAGACUAGAGGUAUGCAGGGGGAGAACGGAAUUCCUGGUGUAGCGGUGAAAUGCGCAGAUAUCAGGAGGAACACCGGUGGCGAAGGCGGUUCUCUGGGCAUUACCUGACGCUGAGGAGCGAAAGUGUGGGGAGCGAACAGG